UGCGGAGGGAUCAUUACCGAGUUUACAACUCCCAAACCCCUGUGAACAUACCUAUACGUUGCCUCGGCGGAUCAGCCCGCGCCCCGUAAAACGGGACGGCCCGCCCGAGGACCCUAAACUCUGUUUUUAGUGGAACUUCUGAGUAAAACAAACAAAUAAAUCAAAACUUUCAACAACGGAUCUCUUGGUUCUGGCAUCGAUGAAGAACGCAGCAAAAUGCGAUAAGUAAUGUGAAUUGCAGAAUUCAGUGAAUCAUCGAAUCUUUGAACGCACAUUGCGCCCGCCAGUAUUCUGGCGGGCAUGCCUGUUCGAGCGUCAUUUCAACCCUCAAGCUCAGCUUGGUGUUGGGACUCGCGGUAACCCGCGUUCCCCAAAUCGAUUGGCGGUCACGUCGAGCUUCCAUAGCGUAGUAAUCAUACACCUCGUUACUGGUAAUCGUCGCGGCCACGCCGUUAAACCCCAACUUCUGAAUGUUGACCUCGGAUCAGGUAGGAAUACCCGCUGAACUUAAGCAUAUC
rnacentral:rRNA from 1 species